rnacentral:rRNA from 1 species
CUUACGAGAUUGCAAUGAGAACAAUUUAAAUCUCUUAGCGAGGAACAAUUGGAGGGCAAGUCUGGUGCCAGCAGCCGCGGUAAUUCCAGCUCCAAUAGCGUAUAUUAAAGUUGUUGCAGUUAAAAAGCUCGUAGUUGAAUUUCUGAUUAUGGAUGUAGCGGUUUCCGUUACAUUUGUAGUCAUCCACAUGAGAACCUUUCUCGGCCUUCACUGGUCGGUUGGGGGAUCAUGUACUUUACUUUGUAAAAAAUACAGAGUGUUUCAGGCAGGCGUUUGCAUGAAUACACAAGCAUGGAAUAAUGGAAUAGGACUAGGGUCCAUUUUAUUGGUUAUUGGACCAUAGUAAUGAUUAAUAGGGACAGUUGGGGGCGAUUAGUAUUUAAUUGUCAGAGGUGAAAUUACUUGGAUUUAUUAAAGUACUAACUUAUGCGAAAGCAUUUGCCAAGGAUGUUUUC